GAUGAAGAACGCAGCGAAAUGCGAUAAGUAAUGUGAAUUGCAGAAUUCAGUGAAUCAUCGAAUCUUUGAACGCACAUUGCGCCCGCCAGUAUUCUGGCGGGCAUGCCUGUCCGAGCGUCAUUUCAACCCUCGGGACCCUUCGGGGAACCGGUGUUGGGGACCCGUCCGCCGACCCACGGCGGCCGGCCCCGAAAUACAGUGGCGGCCCUGCGGCGACCUCCUCUGCGUAGUAGCGAUACCUCGCAGCUGGAAAGCGGCAGCGGCCACGCCGUAAAACCCCCUCUUCUAUGGUUGACCUCGGAUCAGGUAGGAAUACCCGCUGAACUUAAGCAUAUCAAUAAGCGGAGGA
rnacentral:misc_RNA from 1 species